CUACGGGGGGCAGCAGUGGGGAAUAUUGGACAAUGGGCGAAAGCCUGAUCCAGCCAUGCCGCGUGGGUGAAGAAGGCCUUCGGGUUGUAAAGCACUUUCAGUGGGGAAGAAAGCCUUGGGGCUAAUACCCUCGAGGAAGGACAUCACCCACAGAAGAAGCACCGGCUAACUCCGUGCCAGCAGCCGCGGUAAUACGGAGGGUGCGAGCGUUAAUCGGAAUUACUGGGCGUAAAGCGCGCGUAGGCGGUCUGAUAAGCCGGUUGUGAAAGCCCCGGGCUCAACCUGGGAACGGCAUCCGGAACUGUCAGGCUAGAGUGCAGGAGAGGAAGGUAGAAUUCCCGGUGUAGCGGUGAAAUGCGUAGAGAUCGGGAGGAAUACCAGUGGCGAAGGCGGCCUUCUGGACUGACACUGACGCUGAGGUGCGAAAGCGUGGGUAGCAAACAGGAUUAGAUACCCCUGUAGUC
rnacentral:rRNA from 1 species